UAACUUGAGACACUCUUCAUUUACCACCAUCCAUAAAUCUUUGACGUCCUUCUGCAUUAAUUUAUAGGCUGCUUCUUGUGAAAUGUCAUAUUGCUUCAUACAACAUUCAACUGCUGAAGCAACAUGCACUCUUUGCUGCUCAAACUAAACAUAUUAUACAAAUUCAAAAGCUCUGUUAGAUAGGUUAAAUAAUUUCAAGUUUUAUGGAAUGAGUAUUAUUUACUGUAUUGAUCAAGGACUAAAAAUAUAAGUUUUAAAUUGAAAAACACGGUAGAAAAUAGCUUGAAAAAACUACGGCGGAGAGAAUUACUCCCACCAAGAUAUGAAUGUUACUUGCUGAAAUAUCAUUGCUUUUGAUGAUAAAGGAUACCCAUCUUGUGUCAAAUGUUGGUGGUUUGCAUCAAACGAUCUAAGGCAUAUUGGAAUGGUAUGAUCUAAGGCAGAUUGGACUUAAAAUUUAAUUUUCUAAAUAUUAAUAUGAAUCCCAAUGCUUUGAUUUUGUAUAAGCUAUUCUUAAUUUGUGUUUCCAAACACGGACAGCUUAUUAAAUUUAAGCGCUUAUGGCAAGCGCUUAUUGAAUAAGCGCUUAAAUAAGAUGUUUCCCCAAACGCGGCCCAAAUUAAAAUGUCUUUCCAAAGAAAUUUGUAAAUGGAAAUCCCCUGUUUUGAUUUUUUGUAAAAUAUCAACAUAAUAUAGAAAAGAGUUACUACUGAAAUAGCGUGUCUUAUUACCAAGCACAAAAAUGUAAAACAAAAGCGUAAAAUAGCUACUUAUAAUUGAAGUUGCUUCUUCUACACAUAUUGAUCAAUGCUUAUUGGAUUGGAUCUACUAGCAGUGCAACCAUGUAUUCCUUCAACAGUUUCCCAUCUGUGAAUCUAUCUUCAAAGUUGUCGUACAUAAACUCAUUUGCUCGUGAUAAAUUAAGAAUACAAUCAAGCACGGGCUUUGGAAUGUAGUCUAACUUGAGACACUCUUCAUUUACCACCAUCCAUAAAUCUUUGAUGUCCUUGUGCAUUAAUUUAUAGGCUUCUUCUUGUGAAAUGUCAUAUUGCUUCAUACAACAUUCAACUGCUGAAGCAACAUGCACUCUUUGCUGCUCAAACUAAACAUAUUAUACAAAUUCAAAAGCUCUGUUAGAUAGGUUAAAUAAUUUCAAGUUUUAUGGAAUGAGUAUUAUUUACUGUAUUGAUCAAGGACUAAAAAUAUAAGUUUUAAAUUGAAAAACACGGUAGAAAAUAGCUUGAAAAGAAUAACUUAUAAAUGGAAAUUGAUCCCCUCAAUUGUUAAAAAACUUGAUAGGGUCAAAUUUCACUAUCUCGCAUUGUUAAAAAACUUGUAGUAUGCUAUUUUUAAUUUGUUUAGUUAUUAUUUAAGUUAUUUUUCAUACAUUUCAAGUUACUUUAGGUCGGUAAGUCCGCCAACGCGCCCUUUUUUUGUGGGCCUACGUUGUGAUGCCAACCUUUUUCAUACAUUUCAAGUUAACUCACAACCUUUUUCAUACAUAUAAUAGCUCUUCAUUAAAUUUAUAUUUAUUUAGAAUUUAUAUCAAACCAAACAAAAGGUUUCGAACAUAAAAGCCUGUGUACCUUA
rnacentral:lncRNA from 1 species